rnacentral:rRNA from 1 species
CGGUGGAUGCCCUGGCAGUCAGAGGCGAUGAAGGGCGUGCUAAUCUGCGAUAAGCGCCGGUAAGGUGAUAUGAACCGUUAUAACCGGCGAUACCCGAAUGGGGAAACCCAGUGUGACUCGUCACACUAUCAUUAACUGAAUCCAUAGGUUAAUGAGGCGAACCGGGGGAACUGAAACAUCUAAGUACCCCGAGGAAAAGAAAUCAACCGAGAUUCCCCCAGUAGCGGCGAGCGAACGGGGAGGAGCCCAGAGCCUGAAUCAGCAUGUGUGUUAGUGGAAGCGUCUGGAAAGGCGCGCGAUACAGGGUGACAGCCCCGUACACAAAAGCGCAUGUGCUGUGAGCUCGAUGAGUAGGGCGGGACACGUGGUAUCCUGUCUGAAUAUGGGGGGACCAUCCUCCAAGGCUAAAUACUCCUGACUGACCGAUAGUGAACCAGUACCGUGAGGGAAAGGCGAAAAGAACCCCGGCGAGGGGAGUGAAAAAGAACCUGAAACCGUGUACGUACAAG